rnacentral:tRNA from 1 species
UAUACAUUGAUGUUUAAGCAUAAAAAGUUUUGAUCUUUUAGGUUAUAGUUAAUACUAUUAUGUAUAG